rnacentral:rRNA from 1 species
UGGGGAAUAUUGGACAAUGGGCGAAAGCCUGAUCCAGCCAUGCCGCGUGUGUGAUGAAGGUCUUCGGAUUGUAAAGCACUUUAAGUUGGGAGGAAGGGCAGUAAGCGAAUACCUUGCUGUUUUGACGUUACCGACAGAAUAAGCACCGGCUAACUCUGUGCCAGCAGCCGCGGUAAUACAGAGGGUGCAAGCGUUAAUCGGAAUUACUGGGCGUAAAGCGCGCGUAGGUGGUUCGUUAAGUUGAAUGUGAAAGCCCCGGGCUCAACCUGGGAACUGCAUCCAAAACUGGCGAGCUAGAGUAGGGCAGAGGGUGGUGGAAUUUCCUGUGUAGCGGUGAAAUGCGUAGAUAUAGGAAGGAACACCAGUGGCGAAGGCGACCACCUGGGCUCAUACUGACACUGAGGUGCGAAAGCGUGGGGAGCAAACAGG